GCCCAUUGAUGAGAUUAUGGCAAGUUUUAUGAUCUAGUCAUACCAAGAGACCGUGGCCUCCAGCCUGCUGAUGAUGGGUAGUCUUGGUAGUGUGAUGUAGUGUUAUUGCACGACUGUAAGGGCCCACCCAAAGUAAUCCUGUUGCCUUCUGCAAUCUCUGCCCCCCCAAGAGCAGUGGGACGGGACAGACAGAAGGCUUCAAACAAUGCGGAAAUGUUUGUUUGUGAUUGUGUGUCGGUUGUAUGAAUGUAUAUGUAUCAGCUUGCAAGGGGUCCACAGUCUGUAUGCAUUUGGUUUGACUGUAAUGAACUACUUUUUGGUAAUCUGAGGGCA